rnacentral:rRNA from 1 species
AUACGGAGGGUGCAAGCGUUACUCGGAAUCACUGGGCGUAAAGCGCGCGCAGGCGGCUAUUUAAGUUGGAUGUGAAAGCCUACGGCUCAACCGUAGAACUGCAUCCAAAACUAUUUAGCUUGAGUGUGGGAGAGGAAGAUGGAAUUAGUUGUGUAGGGGUAAAAUCCGUAGAGAUAACUAGGAAUACCAAAAGCGAAGGCAAUCUUCUGGAACACUACUGACGCUGAGGCGCGAAAGCGUGGGGAGCAAACGGGAUUAGAUACCCUAGUAGUCC